rnacentral:rRNA from 1 species
AUUGAACGCUGGCGGCAGGCCUAACACAUGCAAGUCGAGCGAGCGGCGGACGGGUGAGUAAUAUCUGUGAAACUGCCUGAUUGCGGGGGGUAAAUACUGUAAACUGUCUCCAAUACCGCCUACCCCCUGAUUUGCCCAUAUGGUAUUAGCUAGUAGGUGGGGUAACGGCUCACCUAGGCGACGAGCCCUAGCUGGUCUGAGAGGAUGACCAGCAACACGGGAGAUGGGACACGGUCCAAAAUCGUACGGGAGGCAGCAGUGGGGAAUAUUGCACAAUGGGCGCAAGCCUGAUGCAGCCAUGCCGGGUGUGUGAAGAAGGCCUUCGGGUGGUAAAGGACUUUCAGCGGGGAGGCGUUACCCGCAGAAGAAGCACCGGCUAACUCCGUGCCAGCAGCCGCGGUAAUAC